rnacentral:rRNA from 1 species
UACGUAGGGUGCGAGCGUUAAUCGGAAUUACUGGGCGUAAAGCGUGCGCAGGCGGUUCGUUAAGUCAGCUGUGAAAGCCCCGGGCUCAACCUGGGAAUGGCGGUUGAAACUGGCGAACUUGAAUCUGGCAGAGGGGGGUGGAAUUCCACGUGUAGCGGUGAAAUGCGUAGAGAUGUGGAGGAACACCGAUGGCGAAGGCAGCCUCCUGGGCCAAUACUGACGCUCAUGCACGAAAGCGUGGGGAGCAAACAGG